AACGAACGCUGGCGGCGCGCCUAAUACAUGCAAGUCGAGCGAGAAGACGUAGCAAUACGUUUGUAAAGCGGCGAACGGGUGAGGAAUACAUGGGUAACCUACCCUCGAGUGGGGAAUAACUAGCCGAAAGGUUAGCUAAUACCGCAUACGACUCCUGGUCUGCGGAUCGGGAGGGAAAGCGAUACCGUGGGUAUCGCGCUCUUGGAUGGGCUCAUGUCCUAUCAGCUUGUUGGUGAGGUAAUGGCUCACCAAGGCUUCGACGGGUAGCUGGUCUGAGAGGACGAUCAGCCACACUGGGACUGAAACACGGUCCAGACGCCUACGGGUGGCAGCAGUGAGGAAUAUUGGACAAUGGGCGAAAGCCCGAUCCAGCAACGCCGCGUGGAGGAUGAAGG
rnacentral:rRNA from 1 species